GCGGUCACGCCAAACUUACGUUUGUCCUAUUGUUUCCACUUCUCUUCCUCUCUCAGCAUCUGUUCUUCUCCUUUAUUUCUGAUCUACUUUUCCUAGUCCCUACUUUGUCUUAUGUUUUAAAGAAAACUUGAUCAGAAAUAAAGAAAAGAAGAACAGAUUCUGAGAUAGGAAGAGAAGUGGAAACAAUAGGAGAAAUGUAAGUUCGGCGUUACAG
rnacentral:miRNA from 1 species